CCUACGGGAGGCUGCAGUGGGGAAUAUUGCACAAUGGGCGCAAGCCUGAUGCAGCCAUGCCGCGUGUGUGAAGAAGGCCUCCGGGUUGUAAAGCACUUUCAGCGGGGAGGAAGGCGUUAAGGUUAAUAACCUUGUCGAUUGACGUUACCCGCAGAAGAAGCACCGGCUAACUCCGUGCCAGCAGCCGCGGUAAUACGGAGGGUGCAAGCGUUAAUCGGAAUUACUGGGCGUAAAGCGCACGCAGGCGGUCUGUCAAGUCGGAUGUGAAAUCCCCGGGCUCAACCUGGGAACUGCAUUCGAAACUGGCAGGCUAGAGUCUUGUAGAGGGGGGUAGAAUUCCAGGUGUAGCGGUGAAAUGCGUAGAGAUCUGGAGGAAUACCGGUGGCGAAGGCGGCCCCCUGGACAAAGACUGACGCUCAGGUGCGAAAGCGUGGGGAGCAAACAGGAUUAGAUACCCUAGUAGUC
rnacentral:rRNA from 1 species